GAAAAACCAGAAAAGAAAUGGAAAAAAAA
rnacentral:rRNA from 1 species